rnacentral:rRNA from 1 species
GGAAUAUUGGACAAUGGGGGAAACCCUGAUCCAGCGACGCCGCGUGGGUGAAGAAGGCCUGCGGGUUGUAAAGCCCUUUCGGUAGGGACGAAAGCCUCCGACCUAACACGUCGGGGGGUUGACUUAACCUACCACAGAACCACCGGCUAACACUGUGCCAGCAGCCGUGGUAAUACAGAGGGUGCGAGCGUUAAUCGGAAUUACUGGGCGUAAAGCGCACGUAGGCGGCUUGGUAUGUCGGGUGUGAAAUCCCCGGGCUCAACCUGGGAACUGCAUCCGAAACUGCCUUGCUCGAGUAUGGGAGAGGGAAGUGGAAUUUCCGGUGUAGCGGUGAAAUGCGUAGAUAUCGGAAGGAACAUCAGUGGCGAAGGCGACUUCCUGGACCAAUACUGACGCUCAGGUGCGAAAGCGUGGGGAGCAAAC